CAGCCGCCACGGUAAUACAGAGGGUGCAAGCGUUAAUCGGAAUUACUGGGCGUAAAGCGCGCGUAGGUGGUUUGUUAAGUUGGAUGUGAAAUCCCCGGGCUCAACCUGGGAACUGCAUCCAAAACUGGCAAGCUAGAGUAUGGUAGAGGGUGGUGGAAUUUCCUGUGUAGCGGUGAAAUGCGUAGAUAUAGGAAGGAACACCAGUGGCGAAGGCGACCACCUGGACUGAUACUGACACUGAGGUGCGAAAGCGUGGGGAGCAAACAGGAUUAGAUACCCCAGUAGUCCCUGUCUCUUAUAA
rnacentral:rRNA from 1 species